rnacentral:misc_RNA from 1 species
GCAACAACACUGUUCGCCAGUGAGUCCUUAAGCUAUAGUGGUGUAAACUUGUUGACGAAAAGUCCCAGUGUGACCGGCGUGAGAGUAAUUGUCCGGAUUCCAAAGUUUUCUGUUUUUUGAUCCAAGAGACUUCCAAUAGCGCUUUGAGAUUCUGUAGAAUGACGCAGAGAAGUCAUGAAACAAUUCGUAGUCUUCUUCGAGGGCUACCACUCGGAACGAGUUACGAGAUUCCAUGGCAAGAUGAACCGAAUAACGAAGAAGCGUUUCAUGAGGUCAAUGAUAUCCAGGAUGCAGACGAAGAUACCGGGCUCGGCCACAAAGGCGAAAUUCCAAUGGAUGUCGAAUAUGAUUCAUACGAAGAGCAGGCACAGCACGCGCAAGGACCAUUGCAUGGUCAGUUUGCGAUAGAAGGAAAAAAUAAUUACAAGUGGUACGCGAAUAAUUCGGAAAUACCAGUGCUACAGGUGUCAGAAAUUUCUUUUGCUAAACCGAAUGGCGAUGCGAAGAAUAUCAGAACACCACUCGAAGCAUGGAGUUUACUUUUUUCAAACGACUUAUUGGAUAUAAUCGUUCGGCAUACAAAUGAAGAAAUCCGAAGAAGAGCCGAGUACAAGAUUGAAGACCUUUAUCGAGAGACAAAUUUGGUGGAAUUAAAAGCCUUGCUGGGAUUAUUAUACUUCACCGGAUUGCGGAAGAGAACAUGGCAGACCUCAGAACACACUGUAAAAAAAAUUGGAAGAGUCGAGAUUCGUAAAUUUUCUCGCGAAGAAGGAAAUACAUGAAAACAAAGGGUUUCGGACGUAUACGACGUUAAUGGAAAAAUCAUCGGAGCAAGUUCUCCAGCUGCAUCCAACAUCGGGCGUAUGGGAAAAGGACAAGAUCAACCGAAAGAUAAAAUUAUCUAAGAGGACAAAG